AGGUGGGAUUGUAUUCAUCAAAUACCCCUGGGGCUACACUGCUGGAUCUGCCAAUCUCACCAGCUUCCCUCUUGCCACCUUCAGCAGCACAGGCUGAAAAAUGUAGACUCACUUUCUCAGUUUCUGCUGUAGCAGGGAAGGUCAUGUGCCCAUAUUAUGGCCAGUGUGCUGUAACUUGAGGUCUCUCAGUGCUUUCCUGACAGAGUCUGAUAAUUGGAACCAACUUGCCUCUUCUUUCUGCUUUGAGUAUGGGGCAGCAGGAACCAAUUUGCAACCAUAAGGUUCUAGAGGCCAGAAGUCUGAAAACAACAUGUUGGCAUGGCCACACUCCCUCUGAAGUCACCAGGAGAGAAUCCACUCCUCGCCUCCCUCACUUUCUGGUAACUGUCAGAAUUUCUUGGUUUUUAUUGGAAUCGCUCCAAUCUUCAAGGCCAGCAUCUUCAAAGCUUCUCCUGUGUGAUUGUCUGACUAAUAUUCCUCUCUCUCUUUCAUGUUUUUAUCAAGUAGAUUUGAAGAGAUAACUGUGACUGACUGGAUUCCGCCAUAUCUGUGGCUACCCUGAGAUCCCACAGUUUGAUGUUGGAGAAAAGAUAGAAUUCUAUGUCCUUCAUAUACAACAUCAUUUAAGAACAA